GAGUUUGAUUCUGGCUCAGGAUGAACGCUAGCGAUAGGCUUAACACAUGCAAGUCGAGGGGCAGCAUAGAAUCAGCUUGCUGAUUUAGAUGGCGACCGGCGGAUGGGUGCGUAACGCGUAUGCAACUUACCUGUCAGAGGGGGAUAACCCGGAGAAAUUCGGACUAAUACCGCAUAUACUUGAGAUACUGCAUGGUGUUUCAAGGAAAUAUUUAUAGCUGACAGAUAGGCAUGCGUUCCAUUAGCUGGUAGGUGAGGUAACGGCUCACCUAGGCUACGAUGGAUAGGGGAACUGAGAGGUUAAACCCCCACACUGGUACUGAGACACGGACCAGACUCCUACGGGAGGCAGCAGUGAGGAAUAUUGGUCAAUGGGCGAGAGCCUGAACCAGCCAAUUCGCGUGAAGGAUGACUGCCCUAUGGGUUGUAAACUUCUUUAGUAGGGGAUUAAAGUUUGCCUUGCGAGGCAAUUUGCAA
rnacentral:rRNA from 1 species